rnacentral:lncRNA from 1 species
GCACCCUCCCUGCUCCCCACAACCUCCUCCCACCCCACCCAUCCCAGCAGGGCUCACCCCAGGGUGCCUGCCUGUGCCCUCUCUUGCUUCCUGGGCUCCGUCCUCACCACAGCCAUGCUGUCAGGCGUUGGUGCAGCAUCCCCCAUCAGACACUGUGGGCGGCCCCUCCUGCUCUCUGCUCUCCUCCUUGGAGGGGCCCUUCAGCCUCCUGACACCAACAGCCCACUGUGCACCACUGGGCCUGCUUCCCCUGCCUUGCCCCAUUUCCUUAGACAGAGAGAAAGGGUCAGAUAUGGCAAGUCCCGUCUGUUGACCAUUUCCCGCCAGCCUCUGCCAUCCCUUCUCCUGCAGUUGUGUCCUGAUGGGGCUCAGGCCAGUACCAUCCUAUCAGACAGAAUCUGCACCAGGUCCCAUGGGUUCCCUGCCCUCUGAGGAGGCUGUGGGCUGGCACAGUCAGGUCUUGCCCCUCCUUCCUGUGUUGGCUCAGAGAAGCUCUAGAAUUAGAGCAGCCCUUCUGGGGUCCUUCCAGGCCGCC